AUACGUAGGUGACAAGCGUUAUCCGGAUUUACUGGGCGUAAAGAGCUCGUAGGUGGUUUGUCGCGUCGUCUGUGAAAUUCCGGGGCUUAACUCCGGGCGUGCAGGCGAUACGGGCAUAACUUGAGUACUGUAGGGGAGACUGGAAUUCCUGGUGUAGCGGUGAAAUGCGCAGAUAUCAGGAGGAACACCGGUGGCGAAGGCGGGUCUCUGGGCAGUAACUGACGCUGAGGAGCGAAAGCAUGGGUAGCGAACAGGGUUAGAUACCCUGGUAGUCCAUGCCGUAAACGGUGGGCGCUAGGUGUAGGGGUCUUCCACGACUUCUGUGCCGUAGCUAACGCAUUAAGCGCCCCGCCUGGGGAGUACGGCCGCAAGGCUAAAACUCAAAUGAAUUGACGGGG
rnacentral:rRNA from 1 species